GAUGAACGCUGGCGGCGCGCCUAAUACAUGCAAGUCGAGCGAACAGACGAGGAGCUUGCUCCUCUGACGUUAGCGGCGGACGGGUGAGUAACACGUGGAUAACCUACCUAUAAGACUGGGAUAACUUCGGGAAACCGGAGCUAAUACCGGAUAAUAUAUUGAACCGCAUGGUUCAAUAGUGAAAGACGGUUUUGCUGUCACUUAUAGAUGGAUCCGCGCCGCAUUAGCUAGUUGGUAAGGUAACGGCUUACCAAGGCAACGAUGCGUAGCCGACCUGAGAGGGUGAUCAGCCACACUGGAACUGAGACACGGUCCAGACUCCUACGGGAGGCAGCAGUAGGGAAUCUUCCGCAAUGGGCGAAAGCCUGACGGAGCAACGCCGCGUGAGUGAUGAAGGUCUUCGGAUCGUAAAACUCUGUUAUUAGGGAAGAACAAAUGUGUAAGUAACUAUGCACGUCUUGACGGUACCUAAUCAGAAAGCCACGGCUAACUACGUG
rnacentral:rRNA from 1 species